rnacentral:rRNA from 1 species
UUUGGAAGUAUAAAAGUCGUAACAAGGUCUCCGUAGGUGAACCUGCGGAGGGAUCAUUAC